CCUACGGGGGGCAGCAGUGGGGAAUAUUGGGCAAUGGGCGCAAGCCUGACCCAGCAACGCCGCGUGAAGGAAGAAGGCUUUCGGGUUGUAAACUUCUUUUCUCAGGGACGAAGCAAGUGACGGUACCUGAGGACUAAGCCACGGCUAACUACGUGCCAGCAGCCGCGGUAAUACGUAGGUGGCAAGCGUUAUCCGGAUUUACUGGGUGUAAAGGGCGUGUAGGCGGGAAAGCAAGUCAGAUGUGAAAACCAUGGGCUCAACCUGUGGCCUGCAUUUGAAACUGUUUUUCUUGAGUGCUGGUGAGGCAGACGGAAUGCCUAGUGUAGCGGUGAAAUGCGUAGAGAUUAGGAAGAACACCAGUGGCGAAGGCGGUCUGCUGGGCAGCAACUGACGCUGAGGCGCGAAAGCGUGGGGAGCAAACAGGAUUAGAUACCCUAGUAGUC
rnacentral:rRNA from 1 species